rnacentral:rRNA from 1 species
UGGGGAAUAUUGGGCAAUGGACGCAAGUCUGACCCAGCAACGCCGCGUGAAGGAAGAAGGCUUUCGGGUUGUAAACUUCUUUUAUGAGGGGCGAAGGAAGUGACGGUACCUCCUGAAUAAGCCACGGCUAACUACGUGCCAGCAGCCGCGGUAAUACGUAGGUGGCAAGCGUUAUCCGGAUUUACUGGGUGUAAAGGGCGUGUAGGCGGGCUUGCAAGUCAGAUGUGAAAACUAUGGGCUCAACCCAUAGCCUGCAUUUGAAACUGUAGGUCUUGAGUGAUGGAGAGGCAGGCGGAGUUCCGUGUGUAGCGGUGAAAUGCGUAGAUAUACGGAGGAACACCAGUGGCGAAGGCGGCCUGCUGGACAUUAACUGACGCUGAGGCGCGAAAGCGUGGGGAGCAAACAGGAUUAGAUACCC